CGGCGAGUGAAGCGGCAACAGCUCAAAUUUGAAAUCUGGCCCCAGGCCCGAGUUGUAAUUUGCAGAGGAUGCUUUUGGCGAGGUGCCUUCCGAGUUCCCUGGAACGGGACGCCAUAGAGGGUGAGAGCCCCGUCUGGUCGGACACCGAGCCUCUGUAAAGCUCCUUCGACGAGUCGAGUAGUUUGGGAAUGCUGCUCUAAAUGGGAGGUAUAUGUCUUCUAAAGCUAAAUACCGGCCAGAGACCGAUAGCGCACAAGUAGAGUGAUCGAAAGAUGAAAAGCACUUUGGAAAGAGAGUUAAAUAGCACGUGAAAUUGUUGAAAGGGAAGCGUUUACGACCAGACUUGGGCCGGUUGAUCAUCCAGCGUUCUCGCUGGUGCACUCUGCCGGCCCAGGCCAGCAUCAGUUCGCCCCGGGGGAUAAAGGCGGCGGGAAUGUGGCUCCUCGGAGUGUUAUAGCCCGCCGUGCAAUACCYUGAGGUGGACUGAGGUUCGCGCUCUGCAAGGAUGCUGGCGUAAUGGUCGUCAACGACCCGUCUUGAAACACGGACCAAGGAGUCGUCUUCGUAUG
rnacentral:rRNA from 1 species